UUGUGGAGGAGGACGCCGAAGGUGGGGCUAAUGACUGGGGUGAAGUCGUAACAAGGUAGCCGUACCGGAAGGUGCGGCUGGAUCACCUCCUAACAGGGAGACGACAAAAUGUUUAAUAUUAUUAUUUUGUCACCUUAGGUCGAUCGGUAUCUCGCAUUCUUAAUUUUUAAGAAUUUCAUUUCCUAAGUUUUUCUAGGUCACACCCAUUAUUUUUCCUGGGCCAUUAGCUCAGGUGGUUAGAGCGCACCCCUGAUAAGGGUGAGGUCCCUGGUUCAAGUCCAGGAUGGCCCAUAUCUCUAUGUUGGGGGUAUAGCUCAGUUGGUAGAGCGCCUGCUUUGCAAGCAGGAUGUCAGCGGUUCGAGUCCGCUUACCUCCACUGAUUACCACCUCUUCCAUAAUCUUGAGAAAGGAAAUGUUUUGAGUUGUGAUCAAUUCUGAACGAAUCUAGCUUCCUAAUGAAAUCAUUAGGAUGCUGGACUCAUUGAAUUAAUUUCAUUGUUUUCAGAGAACCUUGACAACUGCAUAGAUUAUUUUUAAAGACAAUAAGCAUCUUUUAAUGAUGCAGAUUUAUUAUUGGUGCAAAUGCAUUAAUAACAAUUCUAUUAAGCUGAUGCUUCAAUUAUGAAGUUAUUGGUCAAGCUACAA
rnacentral:misc_RNA from 1 species